rnacentral:rRNA from 1 species
AAUUGGAGGGCAAGUCUGGUGCCAGCAGCCGCGGUAAUUCCAGCUCCAAUAGCGUAUAUUAAAGUUGUUGCAGUUAAAAAGCUCGUAGUUGAAUUUCGGGAUCAGUACGCUGGUCGUGCCUCCGGUAUGUACUGGUGUCACUGAUUCCUCCCUUCUGAAGAACCAUCAUGCCAUUAAUUUGGUGUGGUGGGGAAUCAGGACUGUUACUUUGAAAAAAUUAGAGUGUUUAAAGCAGGCUCGCGCUUGAAUACAUUAGCAUGGAAUAAUGAAAUAGGACGUUUAUCCUAUUUUGUUGGUUUCUAGGAUUGACGUAAUGAUUAAUAGGGAUAGUUGGGGGCAUUAGUAUUCAAUUGUCAGAGGUGAAAUUCUUGGAUUUAUUGAAGACUAACUACUGCGAAAGCAUUUGCCAAGGAUGUUUUCAUUAAUCAAGAACGAAAGUUAGGGGAUCGAAGACGAUCAGAUACCGUCGUAGUCUUAACCAUAAACUAUGCCGACUAGGGAUCGGAUGAUGUUAAUUUUUUAAUGACUCAUUCGGCGCCUUACCGGGAAACCAAAGUGU